rnacentral:ncRNA from 2 species
UACGGAGGGUGCAAGCGUUAUCCGGAUUCAUUGGGUUUAAAGGGUGCGCAGGCGGAAGCUUAAGUCAGUGGUGAAAUCCUCUCGCUCAACGAGAGAACUGCCAUUGAUACUGAGUUUCUUGAGUUUGGUUGACGUUGGCGGAAUGUGUCAUGUAGCGGUGAAAUGCUUAGAUAUGACACAGAACACCGAUCGCGAAGGCAGCUAACGAAGCCAAUACUGACGCUCAGGCACGAAAGCGUGGGGAGCAAACAGG